rnacentral:rRNA from 1 species
AACGAACGCUGGCGGCAGGCUUAACACAUGCAAGUCGAACGCAUGCCUUCGGGCAUGAGUGGCAGACGGGUGAGUAACGCGUGGGAACCUACCCCUUGGUACGGGAUAGCUCCGGGAAACUGGAGAUAAUACCGUAUGUGUCCUGAGGGACAAAGAUUCAUCGCCAAGGGAUGGGCGCGCGUCGGAUUAGCUAGUUGGUGGGGUAACGGCCUACCAAGGCGCCGAUCCGUGGCUGGUCUAAGAGGAUGAUCAGCCACGUUGGGGCUGAGACACGGCCCCAACUCCUACGGAAGGGAGCGGUAGGGAAUAUUAUGCACGGGGCGCAAGUCUGACCAAGCCACGCGGCGGGAGUGAUGAAGGCCCUAGGGUUGUGAAGCUGUUUGACCGGUGACGAUAAUGACGGUAACCGGAGAAGAAGCCCCGGCUAACUACGUG